rnacentral:rRNA from 1 species
UCAGUUCGGAUUGCAGGCUGCAACUCGCCUGUAUGAAGUCGGAAUUGCUAGUAAUCGUGGAUCAGCAUGCCACGGUGAAUACGUUCCCGGGCCUUGUACACACCGCCCGUCACACCAUGAGAGCCGGGAACACCCGAAGUCCGUAGUCUAACCUAUAUGGAGGACGCGGCCGAAGGUGGGUUUGGUAAUUGGGGUGAAGUCGUAACAAGGUAAC